AAUGCUUUCCCGUGACGUGUGUGAUGAUUGCUAAACGGUUAGUGCUGUAUAUAACGUGAUGCUUUGUGUCAGAAUGAGUCUGGCCCAGCAAAAGAUAACUUGCAGAGUCAUUCACCAGCUUCAACUGUGCUCAGGCUGAAACCUGAUUGAAACCAGCUGAGCCCAUGACAUCACCACAGGCUUUUUACUAUAAAAAGGGCAAGCUCUGUGAGGUCAGGAAGCAGAACUAAGCUCCGUGAACAGAAGCCAAGCUGGAAGAGGGAAGAGCCAAGUGAAGUUCAGAGGAGAGAUUCAUUCCAAGAAGCUGGGAUGAGCAAUUUCCUCAGAGACAGCUGCAGAAGAAAAAGGCACACGAUGGAAAUUGUCCUUCAAGAGCAAGGCGCUGCUGUCACCCAAAGACUUAAGUUAUCGAAAGCAAAGCCUCAAAGGAGAAAUUGAUUUAAGCUAUUUCAGAUUUUCAAUUCCUGCAACUGAAGUAAGCUGUGGCAUCAUCAUGUCAUAGUAUCCAUGUGGUCUCUCACUCAACAUAGAUUGAGUGAACACCUCCUCGGGCUCAGGCACUGUUCCAGGAAUGGGGAAUACCAAUAGUGAAUAAAGUGGACGAGAGUCACUGCCCUCAUACAGCAUACACUCUCAGAAUAAAAACAAAUAUACAGCAUGUCAAAUUACAAGAAACACGAAGAGGAGAAGGUGGCAGGGUUGAGAGUGGUGAUGUGAGCGAAGACGAAUGGAGGUGGGAGAGCUGCGUGCGUGUCUGGGAGGAGGGCGUGCUGGGCAGAGCUAACAGCACACGCAGAGGCCGUGAGCUGGGAGUGUGUUUUCUGUGUCGGAGGUACAACAAGAAGGCCGGCACUGCCAGUCAGAAGGAACAAAGGGAAGCAGGAGUUUGUGAACAAGUUAAUUCAGAAAGCAAGUAGACGUGUCAAGCAGGUAUUUGGAUCUAUGAGACUAGAGGCUCUGGGAAAAGAGUCAACAGUGGACAAAAAUUAGGAACCAUCAGCGGACACAUGACGUGCAAACGAUGACCCCGCCCCACCGGUGCAUAUGGACGGAGAAGAGAAGAGGGACAUCCCAACGGUUAGAAGUUGGACAAAGGUCAAAGAACCAGCAAAACAAUACUGAGAGAGAACAGUCUAAUAGGAAGCGGAAAAUCAAGUUUUCCUCGAGUCUGAUGCCUCGGUACGCUAGCAAAACAAAGUGCUCUGUGGGAGAUGGGGUGAUGAACUGCGUAAAGCUGCUGUCCUGUCAAGUCAGAAGGGCCUACCGUUGGCCUUGACAACAUGGAGGUUAGGAGAAACCUAGCAGAACAAGAUCGGGUUCUGAGCACAGCGAGAGGAAAAGCAUUUGAGAGGGACCCAGAACACAGGAAGAGACAACCUUCUGAAGACAGUGAAUGUGCACAACUCUUUGAGAGGUUCUGCUAGUAGCUGGAGUUAGAAGAUGCCCCUGUUCCCAGCUACAUGUCUGCUAGCACAGAGUGCGAGAGCCGAGCCGUGUGCAGAGGUCCACGCCCUCCUUCCUACCCCCACCGCAACACGUCAUCAGGCGACCUUGAGCAAGUCACUUCUACUUCCUGGGUCGCAGAUGAUCCUCGUGUUCGAUUUUUUCUGCCUUUGUUCACGGUGACUUUGCAAAUGAGAAUGUUCUACUUUUUAUGUAACCAAAUCUGUCAAUCUUUGCUUUUUGGAUCAAAGGUUGUUAGCAAGCUUAAGAAGACCAUCUGCA